AUACAAAUGAUGAGGUUUUAUCACUCUAAGUUCAAUUCACUGCUUUUCACAUCCUGUCGUCUGCACGGAAUUAUUCUCAGCAAAUCUCCUGGAUGUCACGUGAUUCUUGUUGGAAAGACAAUCAGGCCAUGACGCCACUGGAAGUUCAUUAAGAUAACCAGAAAGAGAAGAUUCCAAACUUUGAUUUGAAGCCUGAAGGUGCUUGUCUAGGAAAAGCUCUUCUGAAUGUCCUACGGUGGAAGAGAUACUCAUAGAAUGAAGAGAUACAGUGAUACAUAAAGGAAUAUA